rnacentral:rRNA from 1 species
UAGGGAAUCUUCGGCAAUGGACGAAAGUCUGACCGAGCAACGCCGCGUGAGUGAAGAAGGUUUUCGGAUCGUAAAACUCUGUUGUUAGAGAAGAACAAGGACGUUAGUAACUGAACGUCCCCUGACGGUAUCUAACCAGAAAGCCACGGCUAACUACGUGCCAGCAGCCGCGGUAAUACGUAGGUGGCAAGCGUUGUCCGGUGUUAUUGGCCGUAAAGCGAGCGCAGGCGGUUUCUUAAGUCUGAUGUGAACGCCCCCGGCUCAACCGGGGAGGGUCAUUGGAAACUGGGAGACUUGAGUGCAGAAGAGGAGAGUGGAAUUCCAUGUGUAGCGGUGAAAUGCGUAGAUAUAUGGAGGAACACCAGUGGCGAAGGCGGCUCUCUGGUCUGUAACUGACGCUGAGGCUCGAAAGCGUGGGGAGCAAACAGG